AACCCCAUCCGGGAGGCUACCAUGCAAGUCGAGCGGAUGAGAGGAGCUUGCUCCUCGAUUCAGCGGCGGACGGGUGAGUAAUGCCUAGGAAUCUGCCUAGUAGUGGGGGACAACGUUUCGAAAGGAACGCUAAUACCGCAUACGUCCUACGGGAGAAAGUGGGGGAUCUUCGGACCUCACGCUAUUAGAUGAGCCUAGGUCGGAUUAGCUAGUUGGUAGGGUAACGGCCUACCAAGGCGACGAUCCGUAACUGGUCUGAGAGGAUGAUCAGUCACACUGGAACUGAGACACGGUCCAGACUCCUACGGGAGGCAGCAGUGGGGAAUAUUGGACAAUGGGCGAAAGCCUGAUCCAGCCAUGCCGCGUGUGUGAAGAAGGCCCUCGGGUCGUAAAGCACUUUAAGUUGGGAGGAAGGGCUUACAGCGAAUACCUGUGAGUUUUGACGUUACCGACAGAAUAAGCACCGGCUAACUUCGUGCCAGCAGCCGCGGUAAUACGAAGGGUGCAAGCGUUAAUCGGAAUUACUGGGGCGUAAAGCGCGCGUAGGUGGCUUGAUAAGUUGGAUGUGAAAUCCCCGGGCUCAACCUGGGAACUGCAUCCAAAACUGUCUGGCUAGAGUGCGGUAGAGGGUAGUGGAAUUUCCAGUGUAGCGGUGAAAUGCGUAGAUAUUGGAAGGAACACCAGUGGCGAAGGCGACUACCUGGACUGACACUGACACUGAGGUGCGAAAGCGUGGGGGAGCAAACAGGAUUAGAUACCCUGGUAGUCCACGCCGUAAACGAUGUCAACUAGCCGUUGGGGAUCCUUGAGAUCUUAGUGGCGCAGCUAACGCAUUAAGUUGACCGCCUGGGGAGUACGGCCGCAAGGUUAAAACUCAAAUGAAUUGACGGGGGCCCGCACAAGCGGUGGAGCAUGUGGUUUAAUUCGAAGCAACGCGAAGAACCUUACCUGGCCUUGACAUGCUGAGAACUUUCCAGAGAUGGAUUGGUGCCUUCGGGAACUCAGACACAGGUGCUGCAUGGGCU
rnacentral:rRNA from 1 species